UAACGCGUGGGGAACCGUGCCCUAUACAGGGGGAUAACAGCUGGAAACGGUUGCUAAUACCGCAUAAGCGCACAGAAUCGCAUGAUUCAGUGUGAAAAGCCCUGGCAGUAUAGGAUGGUCCCGCGUCUGAUUAGCUGGUUGGUGAGGUAACGGCUCACCAAGGCGACGAUCAGUAGCCGGCUUGAGAGAGUGAACGGCCACAUUGGGACUGAGACACGGCCCAA
rnacentral:rRNA from 1 species